rnacentral:misc_RNA from 1 species
AUUUAGAGGAAGUAAAAGUCGUAACAAGGUUUCCGUAGGUGAACCUGCGGAAGGAUCAUUAAGAGAUACGCCGGGGGCGCCCUCCCGGCACCCCGAGCCAGCAAACCCCCUGUGUACCCUUUCCAUGUUGCUUCCCCAGGCCAGCGGCCACCUGCCGCCAGCCCGACCCCUCCCGCGGUCCACCACGGGCUGAGGCGCCUGGGGGAGGUCCCUGCCCCAACAAAGUGGUCCAAUCAAUGCAGUCUGAGCAGGCCACCUGCCUGAACCAGGUAACAUGUUAAAACUUUCAACAACGGAUCUCUUGGCUCUCGCAUCGAUGAAGAACGCAGCGAAAUGCGAUAAGUAAUGUGAAUUGCAGAAUUCAGUGAAUCAUCGAAUCUUUGAACGCACAUUGCGCCCUCUGGCAUUCCUCAGGGCAUGCCUGUUCGAGCGUCAAUAGAAACCCCCCUCACCCUCCCGGUGGUACUGGGGGAGGUGGGUCGCCCUCCAGGCGCCAGAUCCACCCCCCUGAAAAGCAUGGGCCCGAGAGACGACGGCUGCGACUGACACUCUAAGCGCUUUCU